CUUUGUUCCACACGGUGUCGUUAUGUCUUUUCAAUGUCCUCAUGAGAUGUCUUUUGGAUUUUGUCCUUGAACUGGAUAAUCUUGUCACCCUGCACCUCGCCUGCAUGGAAGCUGUCUGACCUGACUGGAAGAUGGAAGGAGCAAAAUAUGUACAAGACAGUUCUGGAGGAAAACCUAUUGGAGGCGGCAAAGGACUUGAAACUGGAGAUCCACCCAUGACGUCACAGUGACUGGAUUUAACCUAGUUAGCAGGUGUAAACCUGCAAGGCUGUCAUUAACAUAGCUUUAACUUAUAAACAGACACCUGUUACACUGUUGAUGCGUUAAAACAAUGCUGACACCAAAAGUCUUAUUAUUUUAUAAUAAGUAAAAAUUUAUAUAGCAUGUGCUUCAUGCAACCCUGUGUAAAUAAAUUUAGAUUUAAAAUG